rnacentral:SRP_RNA from 1 species
GCUGGGAUGAUGGUGCAUGCCUGCAGUCCUGGCUACUCAGAAGGCUGAUACAGGAGGAUUGCUUGAGUAGUCCAGGAGUUCUGGGCUGUAGUGCGCUAUGUCAAUCAGGUGUCCACACUAAGUUCAGCAUCAAUAUGGUGACUUCAUGGGAGCAGGGAAUCACCAGGUUGCCUAACGAGGGGUGAACCGAGGAAAUGGAGCAGGUCAAAACUUCCGUACUGAUCAGUAGCAGGAUCCUGUCUGUGGACAGCCACUGCAUUCCAACCUGGGUACCACAGUGAGAUCCUAUCUCU